UAAUGCUUGGGUGGUGGUGGCGGUGGAGACUUGUAUUUGUAUACCGGUGUUGGUGGGGGUGGGGACUUGUACUUGUAAACUGGAGGAGGUGGCGGGGGAGACUUGUAUUUGUAAACUGGUGGUGGUGGAGACUUGUAUUUGUAAACUGGUGUUGGUGGUGGUGGGGACUUGUACUUGUAAACUGGUGGUGGUGGGGACUUGUAUUUGUAAACUGGUGGUGGUGGUGGUGGAGACUUGUACUUGUAGACUGGUGGUGGUGGUGAUUUAUAGUGGUAAUGAGGUGGAUGAGAGUGCACUGAGGGAGGUGGUGGUGGUGACUUGUAAUGGUAAGGAGGGGGAGGGGAGUGCACCGGAGGUGGUGGUGGUGGUGAUUUGUAGUGGUAAUGUGGUGGUAGGGAGUGCACUGGAGGUGGUGGUGGUGGUGACUUGUAGUGAUAUGGUGGUGGUGGUGGGGAGUGCACUGGGGGAGGAGGUGGUGGAGACUUGUAGUGAUAAGGAUGGGGAGGAGAGUGCACAGGAGGUGGCGGUGGUGGUGAUUUGUAAUGAUAAGUUGGUGGUGGUGGCGGUGAAUUGUAAUGGUAAAGAGGAGAGGGGAAAUGGUCGGUAGCUGCGGUUUCUAAUGGCAAGUUUAGGGACACUAAUACCACUACAAGAGUGACCAUAAGAGUGUCCAUUUUGGACCCCUUUGCUAUUCUUACCAUCUUUUUACUACAAAU
rnacentral:lncRNA from 1 species